ACGCUCGACACCUACAGGAGGCAGCAGUGGGGAAUAUUGCACAAUGGGGGAAACCCUGAUGCAGCGACGCCGCGUGAGCGAAGAAGUAUUUCGGUAUGUAAAGCUCUAUCAGCAGGGAAGAAACUGGCGGUACCUGACUAAGAAGCACCGGCUAAAUACGUCGCCAGCAGCCGCGGUAAUCUGAGGCGGGCUGGCAAGGC
rnacentral:rRNA from 1 species